AUGAAUGACUAGCUUAGAUAAAGGCCUAUCUUGCACUUGCUUGUGCACACGGAUCAUUAUUUACUGACGAUUUCUAUGCUUCGUGUAAGGAUAAUACGAUUAAGGUAACAUCGUGGAAAAGGGACUAAACAUUGGAAACUGUUCCUCACCCUGCAGAUAAAGAUGACGUUUGUUGAAAUUUUACAUGGGACAAGAACUUAAGGUGACGUCUUUGACAAUGUCAGCCUGUCAGAUUACAUUUGAUAGUGCAGAUCGUGGGGGUGGAAAAUCAGGCGUUUGCGUCAUGAAACUAUUUCAAAAUGAG